AUGAACGCUGGCGGCGUGCCUAAUACAUGCAAGUCGAGCGAACGGACGAGAAGCUUGCUUCUCUGAUGUUAGCGGCGGACGGGUGAGUAACACGUGGAUAACCUACCUAUAAGACUGGGAUAACUUCGGGAAACCGGAGCUAAUACCGGAUAAUAUUUUGAACCGCAUGGUUCAAAAGUGAAAGACGGUCUUGCUGUCACUUAUAGAUGGAUCCGCGCUGCAUUAGCUAGUUGGUAAGGUAACGGCUUACCAAGGCAACGAUGCAUAGCCGACCUGAGAGGGUGAUCGGCCACACUGGAACUGAGACACGGUCCAGACUCCUACGGGAGGCAGCAGUAGGGAAUCUUCCGCAAUGGGCGAAAGCCUGACGGAGCAACGCCGCGUGAGUGAUGAAGGUCUUCGGAUCGUAAAACUCUGUUAUUAGGGAAGAACAGAUGUGUAAGUAACGGUGCACAUCUUGACGGUACCUAAGCAGAAAGCCACGGCUAACUACGU
rnacentral:rRNA from 1 species